UUCGUAAUAAAAAAAAUAUUCGAUAUAAAACGCCGUAUUUAUCUAAACAUGUAAGGAAGAUUCUUCGUAACAAUGACGAGAGUCCAAAAAGUUACUUGAGAAAAUUUUUUGGAUUUAAUAAUCGCAAAUCACCGUCUCUCAGGCUCAGGACUCAUCUAUCCCUGUAGCUGAGGUCAUGGAACCGAAUUUCGAUCGUUCGAACAGCAGCGAGGCUCACAUGCAUGACAUUUACACAAAUAAAGAACGUUGGAUCAGCCUGUCCCCUACUUGGGGCCCGAACCGUUUGAUGCAAAUCGUACCAGGAAAGGUUCUUAAACCGAAGUUCGGAAAACCGAGCGAAUCUAACAGAAAGUCGAAAAUUUGAAGAACGACGACAGAAAUUUAUAAAUAUAAAAACACAUUUCGUAGUUUUAUCAUCGAAUCGAAAUUUCAGUAAA